AGGAACACCAGACCUGGGCGCAGGGCAAGCACCUACCACAGCCAUCCUCUCCACGUGGAGGUCAGCUGGCGGAGACCCAGGCCACUUCGGGGCCAGCGCUGCUACAGACACGCUUGGAAUCUGGCACUUCAUCUGGUAUCAAGGAAUCCUGAUCUUUUAUGACAUCAGUUAGCUCCUCUCUGGCUGUAUUGGCAUCACACACAUCGACGGGGGCUGAUCUGUCUGGCUCUUCGCCAUCACGAGAACCAUCACUCCAGCGGCUCUCCAGCAGGUGUGCCAAGGCCACAGGCCGUGGAGAUUUCUUGUCAGCAGCGUCCACGUCCUGGAAAGUCAUGGAAUCCAGCAAACAGCUCAGUUUUUCCUGGAGUUGUUUCACCUGAGCUAUGAGGUCAACCUUCGGCAGCUGACAAUCUUCCGGCGCCUUUUCCCGACUCUGCAGAUUUUCAAUCGUGGCUUUCAGCUCCUCAAUGUCAGAGCUUCUGGUAUAUGUGACCUGAAGAGAGAGCACAAUUCAGAGGUAAAUUAACUGUAACCACUUCAGAAUAUCCCUCGUUCAGGACACUUUACAUUCCUGGAGUGGAGACGCCACAGCUUGAGAAACAAAGCAGUCACGGACGCAAACUGUCAGCAUCUGAACUCACCACCUCCGCCUCGCUGCUACGGGGCCCUGGUGCCCACCUCAUGCUCCAGACUGAUCGUGGGAUGAAACUCUAAUGCGGCCACUUUCCCUACAAGGACGUCUACAGAAUGAGGCUUUCACCAUCCUUUAAAUGUGAUUUUGUUAAUAUUUAAACAACAUUUUGUUUAACUUUCCCGAAGGAACCUUAGAUUUUAGGUGUCAUUCUAACAUCAAAGUUCGUUUACUUGUGAUGCAAACAUAAUCCUCAGCCACUGUAAGGAAAUAUGAUUGUUUCCACUUUAAAGGGAUGAAAAUUGAAACUAAGAUAUUAAACAUCUUUCUAAACCCACAAAAAUAGUAAGUGCAAAAUCAGGAUUGAGAUCUAUGUCAAUACAGCUCGGAACUCUAUUUUCUUGAGAUAACAUUACUGGCAACGACAAAAAAAUAGAAAAAUUCUAACCCAUUUGUGUUCUAACAACUUUAAAACAAUCUGUUAGAGCCUGCAGGAGGUUCCUGACGCCCUCUCUGCAGAGGAUACUACGAAGCCAGAGGCAGCCAUCUCUGAAACGGGAGGUUGGUACAGACUUUACAUUGGUUCCUCCACCCACUCCUGAGCCUUCCACUCCGUCUGUGACUGCUUGUGAUGAUUUAAUGCGUGAAUUACAAACUAUUCGCUGGCAAAGCUCAGCUAUAUCCUCAAUGCAACCACCGUCGUGGCCUGAACCUUCUUCUCUCUCAGCCUUGCUGUAGGGCUCCCAAUCAUCCACCUAAUCAGCCCAGUAAUGAGGCUCUCAACCCUAUCCCUGUUCAGCCAGGCUGUCAGGCUCUCAAGUCUGUCCUGCCUCUUCUUUCCAUGCAUCAGGCUCCUCGGAAGCCUGCUCUGCAGUCCAUCGGUCAGCCAGUGUUCAGGCCCUGGAAAGACCUGCACUGCAGGUAGCUGGUUCACAGCCUGGUCCACGGGCCCUGGAAGGACCUGUACCGCGGGCAGCCGCAUGGCAGCCUACUCCACGGGCCCUGGAAGGACCUGCACCGGGUAGCCACAUGGCAGCCUACUCCACGGGCCCUGGAAGGACCUGCACCGCGGGCAGCCACAUGGCAGCCUACUCCACGGGCCCUGGAAGGACCUGCACCGCGGGCAGCCGUGUGGCAGCCUACUCCACGGGCCCUGGAAGGACCUGCACCGGGUAGCCACAUGGCAGCCUACUCCACGGGCCCUGGAAGGACCUGCACCGGGUAGCCACAUGGCAUCCUACUCCACGGGCCCUGGAAGGACCUGCACCGCGGGCAGCCGUGUGGCAGCCUGGUCCACGGGCCCUGGAAGGACCUGCACCGCGGGCAGCCACGGCUUGCAGGCUCUCAACCUUUCCUCUCAUCGUCCCAAUUUCCCUUCUGUUUCUGGUCUGGCCACAACUGCGGUUCACUCCCAAAAACAACAUGUCACAUACAUUGGCGAGGAUGAUAGGCCACUUACGAGAGUGAUUCCUCAAGCCCGUGAACAUGGUGAUUCUGAGGCACGGCACCUUCCAGUAGUUUUACAGCCCCCUAUGCCUGCCACUCCAGUCCCUGCACCCCCUGGCAUUAAUCCAGCUGCCGCUCUUGCUCAACAAGCCAAUAGUAUUGCCACGCCUCAGGACACACAACCUAAAGCUGGGGCGCUGAUGCCUGCGCCUCGGCAGCCUGCUGCCGCUGUACUGCUGCUCCUGGUAUUCCUGCCCUACAGACUACUGUCCAGCCAGAUCCUCUCAAUCCAGGCCAGCUUCAGUUGUGUGUGGCAAAUUUGAAAAGCUUUUCUUUCAAAUUUCUUAAAGAUCUUAAAGAAGCAGUCAAACAAUGUGGCACUAAUUCUUUUUGUCCACUCCACUCUAAAAGCUUUGGCAGAGGAUAAACGUCUGGUACCAUGUGAUUGGGACUGUCUCGGCAAAGCGGUCUGAACACAAUCUCAGUAUCUGCAGUUUAGAGACUGGUGGGUCGAUGCUGUUCAGGAGCAUGUCCGUAGAAACCAGGGAGUUAAUCCUCCUAUCAACAUCUCAGAGAAUCAGGGUCCUGUCUGGGUGCCUUAACUGUGUCCUGGCCCCAAGCCCAAAGACUCUCCGGAAGCAAGUCGCCCCUCCAACACGCAGACUUCAGAAUCUGACCAUCUCAUCACCGCCUCACCCUCUGAUUCCUAAUACUACAAAUUCCAGACUACCCUCGUGGGGUCAAAUUAAGACCAUGUCUGACUAGGUAGAAAAAUUUUUGCAGGAGAAAGGAAUUCCAAGAACUACUCAUAAUCUUAUCUUAGCCGCUUUUAUGGGUGGUCACGGGCGUUAAGUAUACUCGGCUCGUGGUCCUUUUCCCCAGCUAAUUCGACCUAUUUCGUGGCUGGACUCCUCGGUGGAGGUCUAUUCUAAUAACAGUGCCUUCAUGCCAGCCCCUAAUAACAGAUUCCCUGCUUAACCAGAAGAAGAAGGAAUGAUCUUUCAUUUGUCUAUUGGGUAUAAAUUUCAACCACUGUGUACAGGAAAUGCUCCUGGGUGCUUAAAGUUUGCUAACCAAAAUUGGAUGUGGACGGUGCCAUCUGCAAGUAACACCUCCUGUCAAGUACACGAUGUGUUUAGCAGCAAUUCCUUUCAGGCCAUGAUCUCCAGACUUAACUCCCAGCAGGCUUACACAGUUCCCAUCACUACUGAAAAUAAUAAAACCAAAGGCCUGUUACACUGCCCGAAAAGGGAUACUGAAGGGCCUUUUAAAUUUAAUGGCAUUCAAUGGAAAAACUGCAAUGCCCCCAAAGCAGUGCUUUUAUAAAAAGCUAAAACCAGAGUUAUUAUUGAUUGGGCCCCAAAAAGAUAUUACUGGCCCAACUGUACUGGCCAAAAUGCCCAGUGUUCUAAAUAUAAUUAUUUGCUGGAUUAUGCUGAGGGGGAUGGCAGUCAUUCAGAAGGAGGGAGUGGCUGUCUCCUUAUCCAUUCAAGUGGGUAAAGGCAGUGUUUCUCCCGACCAAAGAUGAGCUACCCUUCUGUUAUCCCAGAGCAUCUGGAAUUAUGGAAAUGGCUGCUGCUAUUACUGAAAUCAGAUUCUGGAAUACUCCUUAUCAAAAAGCCCUUAAUGCUAGGGCUGGAAUUACAACCCACAAAAUUAACUUGCUAUCUGAAAAGGUAGUUCCUGUAAGAAGCUGUGUUAAACCACCUUAUAUGCUAUU